CUCAGGUGUAUGUUGGUGAGGCUGGUUCAUGAGAGCCACUUCUUGCCACCUAUUUCCAACUCCAUGUAAGUGACUUUGUGUUGGUGGAAAUUCGCCCUGAUAGGAAUAAUUAUAGAAACUGGCAUGUUAGUUCCUUUCCACAACCUGGUUGUUGCGCAUCUGUUAACAUACUACUGAAGUGAAUAGUAGUAGCCAGGAGAAAAGGUUUUCUCACACUGUGGCUCUGACUCUACAUUUGUACCUAGUUGGAGAAAGCCUGAAGGGCUUUACAGACCUUACAUUCUUUUUGUUUGUUUAUGUUUUAGAUGAGCCUCUAAAAGUGAGCCUCUUGCUUCAGCCACCUGAAUAGCUAGAACUCAAGGCGUGCACCACUGUACGUGGCAACAGACACUACACCCUUCUCCUUGCCUGUGUCUUUGAGUGUGCUUAUGAACUUAGUCCAAUAUCUGUAUAGUUAUUGUUCUUCCCAUUUCCAUGGUUCUAUCCUCAAGCAGUCUCUGACUACUUGCUCUCUAAAGGUGGAACGAAUCAAGAAGCUCUGCGACAGCCAAAGACUCUGAGUUAGAAACUAUCAAUAGGCCAAUGUAGAGAAAGGUUGAGAAGGAGUGAUAAGCUGGGAUGGGAUAUUCAGUCUCGGUAAGGUAAAAGGGCUGGUGUUUUUAGAAGAAAGGAUUUCCCUUCCUUGGCUUCUCUAGUGAAAACUGGUUGGAGUGAAAAAGUUAAGGGGAAGAUGCCUGUGGCCAGUGCCUUAGACGGAUCCCACCCCUAUAUCUCCGGUCACUUUGGUGCGGGGCUGCAGGCCUUUCCCCGUGCCGCAGCAGAAGGCGCUCUUGCGCGAUCGCCAUACUGGCUGCGGGAGCUCAGCGACGCUCUAGUCUCUUUUCUCUGUGGCAUCCCGGCGGCUUCUUUGGCCUCUGCAGCAUUGCGGGUUCUCCGGCAGGGGAGAAAACGCCAACUUGGCACGCAGCCUCCGGGACCGAGGCAUGGCACGGCUCCCGAAGCUCGCAGUCUUUGAUCUGGAUUACACGCUGUGGCCUUUUUGGGUCGACACGCACGUAGACCCCCCAUUCCACAAGAGCAGUGAUGGAACUGUCCGGGAUAGUCGGGGCCAGAACAUUCGGUUGUACCCGGAGGUGUCUAAGGUCCUAGAACGGUUACAGGACCUUGGGGUGCCCGUCGCAGCGGCUUCCCGGACAGGUGAGAUAGAAGGGGCGAACCAACUACUGGAGCUCUUUGACCUUGUUAGAUAUUUUGCUCAUCGGGAAAUUUAUCCGGGCAGCAAAGUCACACACUUUGAGAGGUUGCAGCAGAAGACUGGGGUUUCUUUCGCCCAGAUGAUCUUCUUCGAUGAUGAGAAGCGAAAUAUUGUAGAUGUUGGUAAACUGGGUGUUCUCUGCAUUCACAUUCAGAAUGGAAUGAGUCUUCAAACCCUAGCCCAAGGGUUAGAAACAUUCACUAACUCUCAAGCUGGGCACUGAGGUCCAGCCCUGAGGAUGAGCCUCAUUUGAAGCCUAAAAUGGAAAGGAAACGGAGAAGGCAUUUUUUUCAGGGAAGAAGGAAAAGGGGCCAACCCCUGAAGAAGCAAUACAGAAACUGAAGGAGACUGAGAAGAUACUGAUCAAAAAACAGGAGUUUCUGGAACAGAAGAUUCAGCAGGAGCUACAAACAGCCAAGAAGCAUGGG